rnacentral:snoRNA from 1 species
AAGACUAUAUUUUCAGGAAUCAUUUCUAUAGUUCUUUACUUAGAAAUGUGUUUCAAAAGAAUUUAUCUCUCAACUCGCGAUGAUGAGCUGUGAUGCUCCUUUCUGAGAGUCAAUCAAAGACAGAGCUGUGAUUUUGGUUGCAAACUCUGCCAUUGAUGAGCAUUCUCUAUUGCUUUUGGCAAUGUUGAUGAAAGGAGUAUGAUCUGA